AUUGAACGCUGGCGGCAUGCCUUACACAUGCAAGUCGAACGGCAGCACGGGAGCAAUCCUGGUGGCGAGUGGCGAACGGGUGAGUAAUAUAUCGGAACGUGCCCAGUCGUGGGGGAUAACGUAGAGAAAUUUACGCUAAUACCGCAUACGAUCUAAGGAUGAAAGCGGGGGACCGUAAGGCCUCGCGCGAUUGGAGCGGCUGAUAUCAGAUUAGGUUGUUGGUGAGGUAAAGGCUCACCAAGCCGACGAUCUGUAGCUGGUUUGAGAGAACGACCAGCCACACUGGGACUGAGACACGGUCCAGACUCCUACGGGAGGCAGCAGUGGGGAAUUUUUGGACAAUGGGGGCAACCCUGAUCCAGCCAUGCCGCGUGAGUGAAGAAGGCCUCGGUUGUAAGACUCUUCGUCCGGGAAGAAGUACGCAUGGUUAAGUACCUCGUGCGGAGUGACGGUACCGGCCGAUAAGAAGACACCGGCGUAACUACGUGCCAGCAGCCGAC
rnacentral:rRNA from 1 species